AAUGCCUAGGAAUCUGCCUGGUAGUGGGGGAUAACGUUCGGAAACGGACGCUAAUACCGCAUACGUCCUACGGGAGAAAGCAGGGGACCUUCGGGCCUUGCGCUAUCAGAUGAGCCUAGGUCGGAUUAGCUAGUUGGUGAGGUAAUGGCUCACCAAGGCGACGAUCCGUAACUGGUCUGAGAGGAUGAUCAGUCACACUGGAACUGAGACACGGUCCAGACUCCUACGUGAGGCAGCAGUGGGGAAUAUUGGACAAUGGGCGAAAGCCUGAUCCAGCCAUGCCGCGUGUGUGAAGAAGGUCUUCGGAUUGUAAAGCACUUUAAGUUGGGAGGAAGGGUUGUAGAUUAAUACUCUGCAAUUUUGACGUUACCGACAGAAUAAGCACCGGCUAACUCUGUGCCAGCAGCCGCGGUAAUACAGAGGGUGCAAGCGUUAAUCGGAAUUACUGGGCGUAAAGCGCGCGUAGGUGGUUUGUUAAGUUGGAUGUGAAAUCCCCGGGCUCAACCUGGGAACUGCAUUCAAAACUGACUGACUAGAGUAUGGUAGAGGGUGGUGGAAUUUCCUGUGUAGCGGUGAAAUGCGUAGAUAUAGGAAGG
rnacentral:rRNA from 1 species